rnacentral:tRNA from 1 species
AGGGAAAUAGCUCAGUGGCACAGCACGUGCUUAGCAUGCACAAGGUCCUGGGUUCAAUCCCCAGUACCUCCA